rnacentral:rRNA from 1 species
UGAACGCUAGCUACAGGCUUAACACAUGCAAGUCGAGGGGCAUCAGGAAGAAAGCUUGCUUUCUUUGCUGGCGACCGGCGCACGGGUGAGUAACACGUAUCCAACCUGCCCUUUACUCGGGGAUAGCCUUUCGAAAGAAAGAUUAAUACCCGAUAGCAUAAUGAUUCCGCAUGGUUUCAUUAUUAAAGGAUUCCGGUAAAGGAUGGGGAUGCGUUCCAUUAGGUUGUUGGUGAGGUAACGGCUCACCAAGCCUUCGAUGGAUAGGGGUUCUGAGAGGAAGGUCCCCCACAUUGGAACUGAGACACGGUCCAAACUCCUACGGGAGGCAGCAGUGAGGAAUAUUGGUCAAUGGGCGCUAGCCUGAACCAGCCAAGUAGCGUGAAGGAUGAAGGCUCUAUGGGUCGUAAACUUCUUUUAUAUAAGAAUAAAGUGCAGUAUGUAUACUGUUUUGUAUGUAUUAUAUGAAUAAGGAUCGGCUAACUCCGUGCCAGCAGCCGCGGUAAUACGGAGGAUCCGAGCGUUAUCCGGAUUUAUUGGGUUUAAAGGGAGCGUAGGUGGACUGGUAAGUCAGUUGUGAAAGUUUGCGGCUCAACCGUAAAAUUGCAGUUGAUACUGUCAGUCUUGAGUACAGUAGAGGUGGGCGGAAUUCGUGGUGUAGCGGUGAAAUGCUUAGAUAUCACGAAGAACUCCGAUUGCGAAGGCAGCUCACUGGACUGCAACUGACACUGAUGCUCGAAAGUGUGGGUAUCAAACAGGAUUAGGUACCCUGGUAGUCCACACAGUAAACGAUGAAUACUCGCUGUUUGCGAUAUACAGUAAGCGGCCAAGCGAAAGCAUUAAGUAUUCCACCUGGGGAGUACGCCGGCAACGGUGAAACUCAAAGGAAUUGACGGGGGCCCGCACAAGCGGAGGAACAUGUGGUUUAAUUCGAUGAUACGCGAGGAACCUUACCCGGGCUUAAAUUGCAGUGGAAUGAUGUGGAAACAUGUCAGUGAGCAAUCACCGCUGUGAAGGUGCUGCAUGGUUGUCGUCAGCUCGUGCCGUGAGGUGUCGGCUUAAGUGCCAUAACGAGCGCAACCCUUAUCCUCAGUUACUAACAGGUCAUGCUGAGGACUCUGGAGAGACUGCCGUCGUAAGAUGUGAGGAAGGUGGGGAUGACGUCAAAUCAGCACGGCCCUUACGUCCGGGGCUACACACGUGUUACAAUGGGGGGUACAGAAGGCAGCUAGCGGGUGACCGUAUGCUAAUCCCAAAAGCCUCUCUCAGUUCGGAUCGAAGUCUGCAACCCGACUUCGUGAAGCUGGAUUCGCUAGUAAUCGCGCAUCAGCCACGGCGCGGUGAAUACGUUCCCGGGCCUUGUACACACCGCCCGUCAAGCCAUGGGAGCCGGGGGUACCUGAAGUACGUAACCGCAAGGAUCGUCCUAGGGUAAAACUGGUGACUGGGG